UCGGAACACAGGUGCUGCAUGGCUGUCGUCAGCUCGUGUCGUGAGAUGUGGGUUAAGUCCCGCAACGAGCGCAACCCUUAUCAUUAGUUGCUACGCAAGGGCACUCUAAUGAGACUGCCGGUGACAAACCGGGAGGAAGGUGGGGAUGACGUCAAGUCCUCAUGGCCCUUAUGGGUAGGGCUUCACACGUCAUACAAUGGUCGGUACAGAGGGUUGCCAAGCCGCGAGGCGGAGCCAAUCCCACAAAGCCGAUCGUAGUCCGGAUCGCAGUCUGCAACUCGACUGCGUGAAGUCGGAAUCGCUAGUAAUCGCGGAUCAGCAUGUCGCGGUGAAUACGUUCCCGGGUCUU
rnacentral:rRNA from 1 species